rnacentral:rRNA from 1 species
CUAAGCCGCGAGGCCUGAGCCAAUCCCAUAAAGCCAUUCUCAGUUCGGAUUGUAGGCUGCAACUCGCCUACAUGAAGCCGGAAUCGCUAGUAAUCGCGGAUCAGCAUGCCGCGGUGAAUACGUUCCCGGGCCUUGUACACACCGCCCGUCACACCACGAGAGUUUGUAACACCCGAAGUCGGUGG